GCGGCUGUCGUUCAAUGGCAGGACCUCAGUUUCCCAUACUGAAGAUGCGAGUUCGAUUCUCGCCAGCCGCUCCA
rnacentral:tRNA from 1 species